rnacentral:lncRNA from 1 species
AUGGAAGGGUAUGGAACCCAGCCUUCUGGCCCCAAAUCACAGCUCUGGAAGGUCACCUUCAGAACUCCCUGCAAGGAUUGGCUGAAAUCUCUGAUGCAACGAUAUUGUGGUUCAGGCUUUCUCUGGACUGCUCUCCCUCCCCUCCCCAAGACCAAUCCCAGAUCAACCUCUGCCACUUGUCUCAGGUCUCAAGGCAUAAGUAGACUUUUGUUGAAUUCCAUCAAGUUAGAAGAUGAGGACAAUGCAGAAGGAGAGCAUGCGGUGAACACAGCUUGGACAACCUCGCGAGGAGCGUUGGGGCGGGCAUCGGUCCUCGGAGGAAGGUGCCAGAGCGCACGGGACACUAGGCAGACAUUAGCAGCAUCGAGAGCUCAGAGGCAUGGCUGGACCUUGGAAGGAUGUACCCUGUUGGCUGGUGGGUAA